AAGAGCAGCCAACAGGAGCCUAACAAUAUAGCAAAGCCAUUUCCACUCCUUAGAAAAUUAGCUACUGGAAGUUUUAAACCUGCACCCCCACUCUCUCCUAUAGUUUUUAUUUAUUCCUGAGUGUCUCUUCCAUCCAGCUAUAGGAAGUGCAUCUGCUCUAAAGUCCUGGUGCUCGGAUGGAGCUCAUUCUAGCCUGAGGCCCCGCUGCAGACAGGACCGAGGCCCUUGACACUGCCAGGAGGCCGUCACCCAAGUCUUUGUGGUGGUGGACUACCUUGACACGGCAGGUGGCAAGAGCACUUCUCGCGUCAAGAAAGUUCAAUCCAGAUCAGAGAGAAGGAACGACCCCAGAAGCAAACUGUCGGUAGGUGAGAAAAUGCAGUUCCUUCUCCCAGUCUGCCUCGGGGGGUCACUGCCACUCUCCCAGUGCCAGCAUUCCAUCCCUCGGCCAGCGAUGGUGGCACACGCUCUCUCCUCAUCACAAGCCCAGAGAGGCACAAGGAUUAAAGGCCUGCCUGACAAAUGCAGUGGGAUUAGGAGCUUCCUUCUUUGAGCGCUUGACAGCCAAUCCGAUUUUAUCUCCCAAUGACGGGGCUUAAAUGCAACUCAGAAGUAAAGGUUGCAAUCCACAGACUUUCGCUGAUGGCUCCUGUCACAUUGGAGACACCACUGAUGGUGUGUGUGCUUAGAUCCCACAUCAGAGGAGGAAGGGCGUCUACACUGCAUGACUGAGCCAGCCCCAGGCCCAUCACCGUUCUUCUCAUCCUCUCUUAGCCAGAGGGACCACCUUUCAAGCAGAGCCAGUCCUUGCAGACACAAAAGUGUGGGACACAUAUGCCCGGCAGGCCAGGGCAGGCCCUAGGAGGGGCAUGGGAAAUGACGAAGACAAACCACAACCCCUCAACUUCCAGGAGAGAAUAAACAAAACAGCUUGUAACUGAUGCCAUACAGGAACCAUAUACUAAAACAAACCAACGUCAGAUAGGAAAGGAGACCAUUCCUGCAGCCUGGUGAUUUGUGACCCGCCCCAUCAGCUAGUGGAGCGCUGUGGUGCUGGGACAUAGGGAAGGUCCAUGUGCUGCCAGCUGCAGGCAGCGUCUCCCCUCUGGGGCUUCUAGAGAGGACCACACGCCCUCUUCCUCUGCACAGGCUCCUGCCUUCAGACCCUAGCUCUCUAACAGCCACUUCUACCUCCCUUGUUUUCGGCAGAGCCCCUGGGCCUCUCUCCUCUUGCAUAACAAGUUCCACACCCCUGUCCAGCCCAACCCCCACCCUUGAAGGCCAUCUCUGCAGACUUCCUGAUUCCAGUGGUGCCACAUGUGACUUGACCAAGGCACCCUCCGCUGGCAGCCUCGGGCCCCCAGGGUCUGCAUCAGCUGGGCUGAGUGCCUUCAUCGCUCGAAGCUUCUCCAUCAGCGAGGGGCGCAGGAACACUGUUUCGGGGCUGCUACCUCAUUGUCUGAGGAGCGGCUUGACUGGAGGUAUAUCCAAUCUCUGUAUUACCAUGCUCUGUUAUCAUGGCGUCCCACCGCAUCUUCCUUGGGUUUAAUGAACAGCACCAGAGUGACUCCUUCACUUCCCAGGACCAUCUCAGGAAUUUUUAAAUCGGAGCAUGAGGCUGAUGGGAAGUGGCUCUCCCGACCAGCAGGAACAUCUAUGGGGCAGCUGUGACGUGACUGAGGGUAGUGUUUGCUGAUAGGCCCUGCUAAUAAUCCAGUGAGAUGCUGGCAUUCUUGGCAGGGCCCAGAAAGAGCAGCAACAGACCAACAGCUCUCCUGGCCGCUAAGGCCCCUGUAAGAUUCCUGAUCCUUGCUGUUCCUGAGCAGAGGAGAUUGGGAAGUUCUGUGAGCCCAGCUGGGCCAUCCUACCUCCUGCAGAUGGGAGUUUUUGUCAAGAAACCUUGGUCACUAGCUGGUUUACAUAUAUCCCGUAGAAAGGUUUAAUCCGCCUUUGAAGCUACUCGCUGGAGCAGAGCUUGAUAGUAGAGCCAGGAGAAAAGGAAUUCCUGGGGAGAUGGUCCUUUGCACCAGCACUGCCUCAUCGCAAGGGGAGGGACUGAAGCUCUUCCAGCCUAUAACGGUCCCAGAAGAAGAUAAUUCAGUGAUGAGUAUCCUGGUCCCUCCAAAGUGCCCACAGUAAAGCAGGUCGUGUGCCUUCGAGACUGGUGUUCUCCCCAGGGAAGGCGACAGUGUGGUGAAGAGGAGACGCAUGAGUGAGACUGUCCUUCUCUCACGGCCUGAUUACCGUGGAAGGAGUAUUCAGAGUGUUUGACAAAUUAGAAGCCACCUGGAGAAAACGAUGUUUGAAAUCUAGCUAAUUCUUGGAAAGCAAGCUGAAAAUAAAUUAAAAAUAAAUAUAUUUUUAAACACAUGAAAAAACCGACAGCAUCAAGAUGGAGAAAACUCCGCCACAUUCUCA
rnacentral:lncRNA from 1 species